CCACUGUGCCGCCGAAUGUCGGAGAACCCCUCUGUGCACCAUGACUGCAUCAUCUCGUGAUUCCACAGUGCCCUAGCACCACAAGGAUGCCAGCCGGGGCCUCCAGCGAGUGGAAAUCUGUAACCUGCUGGGAGACCACAGCUGUCCUUCCUUGAGCAGCCCCUGCAGUAACUCCCGGGCUUGAACAAUAGGAAGUCAAGGAGAGGAGUUCCUGCUCAUUAUUCACAGCAACUAGAUGUUGAGAGAAACUCCGCUCACACCAAAGCACAAACCUCCUCCAAGACGAGUGUCUGAGCUGGUGGCAGAUAAGAGAAAUUCCUGGUCACCAAGAUGGGAAGACAGGAAAGCGACCGGACUACCCAGAGGGAAGAAGACCCAGAAGCAAGUGCAUCCCUGAUGGUGCCGGGUAACUGACCCUAGCUGUGCCUCCCAGCCAACUCCACCUGAAGCCACAUUGUUGAUUCAAACACAGAUCUCAGGAUGUAGGAAGAACCUCGGGAAGUGUUAUACGGAUAACUGCACAAACCAGGAGGCCCAAUGGUCUCCACAAAACUAAGUCCAGAUUGCUUUUUGUGCUUGCUAGCAUACAGUCAACUUGACAGAAACCAGGGUCAUGGGGAAGAAGAAAGCUCCACUGAGAAAAUGCCUCUAUUCUGCAGACUAACCUACAGGUUCCUGCCCUGGUUGAGUUCCCGCCUUGGCUCCCUGCAUCAUGAACUGUAAGCUGUAAGAUGAAAUAAACUCUUUCUUCACUG